GUUGGGGUCUCUCCUGGGGCUGCCAUCAAGGUAUUAGCCAGAGCUGCAGUCAUCUCAAGGCUCAACUGGGGAAGGAUCUGCUUUCAAGCUUGCUCAUGAGAUUGUUGGCAAGACUCAGCUCAUCACAGGAGGUUGGACUGAGGGCCUCUCUCAGUUAUUUGCCAUGUGAAUCUCUACGCAGGGCAGCGCAUGACGUGGCAAAGUGAGAGAGAAGAAUCAGGGAGAGAAAGUGAGCAAGGUACAGGUCACCGUCCUUUAUAGCCGAAUCCCAGUGAGCUAUCUUAUCACCUUUGCCUAUUCUAUUCUUAAGAAGCAAGUCAGUAUGUCCUGCCCCGUUCAAGUGGAGGGAAUCACACAAGGGCAUGAAUACAGGAAGCAGACAUCGCUGAGAGCCAUUGAGAGACUGUCUACCAGAUGUAGUUCACUGUUGCAGAAGUCUUGGGAGCAACGUCUUCAAUGAUAGCAAGAACAAGAAUUGUAUUUCUCACGAGGAACUGUGCCCCUGACUUAGGGCCAUCUGUUGCAAGACUUGAACCAGAUCAGAUGUGAACCUGAGGAAGCACCUUGUGAAGUCCAAGGGUGAAGCUAACUUGGCAGAAGGCAGAGCCAGGAGACAGAGAGAUAUAGAGAGUCCCAGUGCAAUGGCAUGGUUGAACCCUGGCUCGAACAACACCUUGUGAAAAUUAAUAAAGGGAAACCCUACUAAAAUAGUCAGGAGGCCAGAAAGGGGAGAUCUCAUGCACAUACAGUUCAGAUCCCAAUCGGAAGAGGCGUACCUUGCAUCUCCAGCAGGAAGUGACAAUACUUUAUCACCUCCAGAAGGAAGAAAAAAGAUUCUCUUUGCUUGGCAACAGCUCAGCCAAUGAGAGCCUGUCACGACUCAGCCAAUGAAAAGCCACUAUACUGGGAAACUUCCAGUUUUCCUCUAAUGGACAUUUUGUUUGUAAUAGCCCCGCCCAACUUCCCCUUCUCCUCUAUAAAAGAGUUUCCUCUCCUUUGCUUUACCGGGACUUGAAUGUGGUUUUCCGUAAUUGCAUGUCCCAAAUUGCAAUUUUUUGCUGCUCCCAAGUAAACCCAUUUUGCUGAUAAAAUAACCGCUGUUUAUUGUUUUAGGUUAACAAGCUGAAGAGAGUCGUAUUUUCUAACUUUUCAUGAAUGGGAUCCAAUAAA